rnacentral:ncRNA from 1 species
AUAAAAGCGAAGACCGUGUACAGUAGAGAGCUAUCUUCUAUCAGAGAGAGAGAAUCAUCGGCUGAAAAUUUUCUUGAGUUCAGAUAGUAAUUGAAUUUCCCACGUUAGCUGUGUUUUUGAAAAAAUAAAGUAGAGAACACCGUAAGUUGUACGUUACACAAACAGAGUGUCCAAAAGUUAUAACUUUGGGAAACAGGGUGGUACCGCGAGUAUAAUAUAAGCUUCGUCCCUUUU